AUGUGAUGUGACAUGCCCGUUUGGGGUUUUACUCUGAUAUUGAAUUAUUAUUAUUUAAUUGAUUUUGGGAAACGGGGUGUUACACGAUU
rfam:Medicago truncatula strain A17 chromosome 6, whole genome shotgun sequence.